rnacentral:rRNA from 1 species
GAUGAACGCUGGCGGCGUGCCUAAUACAUGCAAGUCGAGCGAACGGACGAGAAGCUUGCUUCUCUGAUGUUAGCGGCGGACGGGUGAGUAACACGUGGAUAACCUACCUAUAAGACUGGGAUAACUUCGGGAAACCGGAGCUAAUACCGGAUAAUAUUUUGAACCGCAUGGUUCAAAAGUGAAAGACGGUCUUGCUGUCACUUAUAGAUGGAUCCGCGCUGCAUUAGCUAGUUGGUAAGGUAACGGCUUACCAAGGCAACGAUGCAUAGCCGACCUGAGAGGGUGAUCGGCCACCCUGGAACUGAGACACGGUCCAGACUCCUACGGGAGGCAGCAGUAGGGAAUCUUCCGCAAAGGGCGAAAGCCUGACGGAGCAACGCCGCGUGAGUGAUGAAGGUCUUCGGAUCGUAAAACUCUGUUAUUAGGGAAGAACAUAUGUGUAAGUAACUGUGCACAUCUUGACGGUACCUAAUCAGAAAGCCACGGCUAACUACGUG